rnacentral:lncRNA from 1 species
AAGACUAAAGCAAUCGUUGCUGAAGUCAGUGUUGUAAUGGUGAAUCGGGAUUUUUUUAAUGAAGUGGGUUUGAUUACUCUUGACUGUUUUGUGAAAUCGAGUUACGUCUGUGAUUGAAGAAUUAAAAGGGUGUCUAUAGGAUUGAGUAUGCGGAGUGCAUGAAAUUUAUUGGGUUAAUCUAACAAGACAGUCAGUGGAUACAAGAUCGUAAGUACAAAGCGGUAUCGGAGAUUAGCAGAUUGGGUUGUU